AGCGCACCUUCGGGUGAGCGGCGGACGGGUGAGUAACGCGUGGGAACGUACCCAGAUCUGCGGAAUAGCCACUGGAAACGGUGAGUAAUACCGCAUACGCCCUUCGGGGGAAAGAUUUAUCGGAUUUGGAUCGGCCCGCGUUAGAUUAGAUAGUUGGUGGGGUAAUGGCCUACCAAGUCUACGAUCUAUAGCUGGUUUUAGAGGAUGAUCAGCCACACUGGGACUGAGACACGGCCCAGACUCCUACGGGAGGCAGCAGUGGGGAAUCUUAGACAAUGGGCGCAAGCCUGAUCUAGCCAUGCCGCGUGAGUGAUGAAGGCCUUAGGGUCGUAAAGCUCUUUCGCCAGGGAUGAUAAUGACAGUACCUGGUAAAGAAACCCCGGCUAACUCCGUGCCAGCAGCCGCGGUAAUACGGAGGGGGUUAGCGUUGUUCGGAAUUACUGGGCGUAAAGCGCGCGUAGGCGGACUAUUAAGUCAGGGGUGAAAUCCCGGGGCUCAACCCCGGAACUGCCCUUGAUACUGGUAGUCUUGAGUUCGAGAGAGGUGAGUGGAACUCCGAGUGUAGAGGUGAAAUUCGUAGAUAUUCGGAAGAACACCAGUGGCGAAGGCGGCUCACUGGCUCGAUACUGACGCUGAGGUGCGAAAGUGUGGGGAGCAAACAGGAUUAGAUACCCUGGUAGUCCACACCGUAAACGAUGAAUGCCAGUCGUCGGGUAGCAUGCUAUUCGGUGACACACCUAACGGAUUAAGCAUUCCGCCUGGGGAGUACGGUCGCAAGAUUAAAACUCAAAGGAAUUGAC
rnacentral:rRNA from 1 species